GCCAAUCCAGUCUCAAGGAACGCAUUUCCCUCCUCACCUUUGCUUCGGCGUUCGGUCUCCAACCUGGCUCUACGUCCGACAGAGACACUUCCUUGCUCGAAUAAAGAUUCAAUUCAGGAUGUAAUGCCUGUGGUGUUUUGAGUGACUAGCCUAGUGGAUCCUGUCUGAGCAGCUAUCCAAGAAGGCAAGCAACAAAGAUGUCCAGUCUGCCCUGCAAGGAGAGGGAGUUGAUGUAGCCUCCUCCACUGUGCCACUUCUCUUGGCCCACUUCAAGGAGGAC